UCUCGCUCCAACCCCGGGAGGCGGAUCUGGCGCCCGGCGGGCCGAGGGGCUGGGGCGUGGGAGUUGCGCGCGGAGGCGGGAAUGUGUGCGCGGCGGCACGCGCGGGCGCCCGCGUGCAGACGCCCGAAGGACCGGCUCGGGGCCGGUGCCAGAGACGGUCCUACUGCGCGGGUGCCGUGUUCUCUCCUCCGGGGGACGGGGAAUUGCUCUUUCCGCCUCCAGCAGUCUCAGGGCGCAGGAACCCCGCCGUCUCCAGCGGCCUCGGCCGGGCGCUGCCGGGGGCAAGGGACCGCCGGGAGAGGGACGCGGGGAGGGACCGCGCCGCAGGUUCCUGGUGAAGCGUUUCUUGGCCCUCCCGCCUCUUCGGAUGGCGGGGAAGCGUCUCUCUCUCUCCUGUCCCCACCCUCCAGCUCCAGACACAUUCCUAUUCAUGCCACUUCCUCUCUGGGAUUGUGAGAAAAAUUGACGAGGCGAUGUUUGUGCAAUCAGACAAUCAGAGCGCCUGAGAAAUUCUCUUCAGACCAGUUUUUCUCUCCGUACAAAGCGUCUGUUCGUUCAUGGGCAGAGCAUUGCGAUGUCUUUAUAUCUAAAGGGCAGAAGGCUUGAUCAUCGCUUAGCUAAGGGGCUGGGGACAUACAGCAAACAUUUCUCUAAAGGACUCGGUGCUGUUUACUGGUCUUACAUUUCUAGUGUUGCAUUCCCUGACUAGCCAGCUUUCCUCUCUCUCAAUACCAUUUCCAAGGUACCUCUUUUUACCGGGGAAAGCAAUUGAACUAAUUUUACUACUCUAAAAACAUCAUGCAGCCAAGUAGAGUUACAAAUGAAUGAGCUUAUUAUAAGGUUUCGGGCAAAGAGAUGGGGAGGGAAGUUAUAAACAGAAAGCUGCGUGUGUAUGUGUGUAAAAUUAUAGGGAGACACUAAUAUAUGUCUGUUGUACACAACAUUCCAUUUCUGUUGAGGCAACUGAAAGAAAUCACAAAGAUGCUCAAGCACAGUUUUCGCCAAGAGCCUGAGGUGGGAUUUUCCCAAAGAGUUCCAUUCCUGAAACUCAUCAUCAGGAGAGGGCAGGCCCUGAGGACUGAAAGGAAAAGAUCUAGUGGGAGAUUAUGUGAAAUGGAAUGGGGCUGGAGUCCUUUCACAGUUAGAGGGGGCAAGGCUGAAACACGUCUGCCCCAUGGAAGACGCCAGCUGUCCUCAAGGACCUGGCUCUACCAGUAGUUUGAAAAUUGUGCCUGUGAUCCAGAAGUAUGGCGAAGACUGGGAAAUUCCAAGUAAUUCCAACUCCUUUGAGUCUUCGGACAAUGAAUUCAGUCAUUCAAGAGCAACUUCAAAGAAGUUAUUAAAAUGCACUAAGUUCUUUCUGAGAA